CCCACCCACUCCCAGAGAAGAAUCCAGCCUCUGUGUCUAGCAGCACCCGCUUGCCUGCCCUGCCCAGGAGCUAUUUGUUUUCUUAACGGGGUUAACCAAACCUCCUGAGCAGCCUUGGAGCUGUGGGGUGGAGCUGCGAGUGAAAGGGGGUUUUGUGUGCAGUGGUUUUGUUAGCAAUGGUGGAGGGUGAGGGCCCAGCCAAGGCAUGGCAGAAGCGCAGGCCAGCCAACCCACAGGACCACCACAGGAGCAGGGCUGUGUUGGGGAACAUCUUCACCUCAGCAUGUCCUGCCCUUUGCUCAAGCCAUGAUACUGUCAAGCAGCCAGUGUAGCACAGUCCCUUGAGGGGCUGGUGUGGGAGUCCGAUGUCUACUAUAUGGUCCCCAGGAACACACGGGGCAUCCCCAGGGAACUGUUGAAAAUGUCCAUGAUUAGGCACCACGUAGGGCUCUGAACCCAAUCCUCCUGUCUCAGCCUCCCCAGCCGCUGGGAUUACAGGCAUGUGCCACCACACCCAGCACAACCCCAUAUUUUCUGAUUGCAAAGUUAGCCUCAGCAACAGCGAGGCACUUAGCAACUCAGUGAGACCCUGUCUCUAAAUAAAAUACAAAAUAGAGCUGGGGAUGUGGCUCAGUGCUUGAGUCCCCCAGUUCAAUCCCUGGUACCCCAAAAAAAGAAAAUAUGGGGUUGGGGCCCUAAAAUCUGAGAUUGUCAGGCAGGACCUCUAGGGAAUAAUACUGACUGUGAAAAUUUGAAAACUAUUGCUGUAUAAUCUAGAUCAAGAAAAUGUGAUCAAUUAAUACUUUUAGGCAAUUUUCACUCAGCAACUUAGAAAUUAAAUUCAUAUACUAGACAGUGAUGGAGAAAAGACAGAGAUUCUAUAGUAAAACAACUCAUUCUAAAAAUAGAAGUCACUUUGAGGUCUCUACACCCAUCAUAUAAGCCUGGAAUUUAACAGUGUUCAUUUGCCACACUGACCAAUGCUUAAAGUAUACAGAAAAUAAACUCUUCCUCUGAUUGUAAUAACUGCUUUGGAAUUUAUAUCAUGCCAUGUGUUGCUCUUUA
rnacentral:lncRNA from 1 species